rnacentral:rRNA from 1 species
GACAGAGGAUGCAAGCGUUAUCCGGAAUGAUUGGGCGUAAAGCGUCUGUAGGUGGCUUUUCAAGUCCGCCGUCAAAUCCCAGGGCUCAACCCUGGACAGGCGGUGGAAACUACCAAGCUGGAGUACGGUAGGGGCAGAGGGAAUUUCCGGUGGAGCGGUGAAAUGCGUAGAUAUCUGGAGGAACACCGGUGGCGAAGGCGGCAUCCUGGACCAAUACUGACGCUGAGGCGCGAAAGCUAGGGGAGCAAACGGG